CUAUUUAUGAAAAAAUCUGGUUUGGUACUUGGUUGUGAAAACUUGUUCUUGCUUCAGGUUUCUCAAUGUGACGUGGAUGUGAACUGGCUGUGAGGAGGGUCUUUGGAAUCUUGCCAAAAUUCUUCUGCAAAGUGACUAGAAAAAUAUCAAAGUACGACUUGUUCGUAAAUGCAGGAGAUGCCUUCUUCAUGACAGGAAGAACCCUAAGUAAAUGCACACCUGCGACUUCUGAUAGGCAGAGCACAGUUUCAAUGUAGUGGAGGACCAGGAUACAAGGCUCCUUAUUUAGGGAUGGACCCUGGCUUGUGCCUGAAUAGUUCCAGAUGAAAGCCUAAGACUGCAGUAUG